rnacentral:rRNA from 1 species
CAAUAGCGUAUAUUAAAGUUGUUGCAGUUAAAAGCUCGUAGUUGGAUUUCUGGGAGGGUGCCAAUGUCCGUCGUCGUACGUGUUGCAGCGGCGCCCUUCCAUCCUUCUGUUAACGACUUUGGGCAUUCAUUUGCCGGAGUCGGGCUCAGAUAUUUUACCUUGAGAAAAUUAGAGUGUUUCAGGCAGGCUAGGCCGGAAUACAUUAGCAUGGAAUAAUGGAAUAGGACUACGGUCUCUUUGUUGGUUUGAGGGACUGCAGUAAUGAUUAAUAGGGAUAGUUGGGGGCGAUUAGUAUUUAAUUGUCAGAGGUGAAUUACUUGGAUUAUUGAAGACGAACUUCUGCGAAAGCAUUUGUCCAAGGAUGUUUUCUAUUGAUCAAGAACGAAAGUUAGGGGGCGUCGAAGACGAUCAGAUACCAU